GAUGAACGCUGGCGGCGUGCCUAAUACAUGCAAGUCGAGCGAACAGACGAGGAGCUUGCUCCUCUGACGUUAGCGGCGGACGGGUGAGUAACACGUGGAUAACCUACCUAUAAGACUGGGAUAACUUCGGGAAACCGGAGCUAAUACCGGAUAAUAUAUUGAUCCGCAUGGUUCAAUAGUGAAAGACGGUUUUGCUGUAACUUAUAGAUGGAUCCGCGCCGCAUUAGCUAGUUGGUAAGGUAACGGCUUACCAAGGCAACGAUGCGUAGCCGACCGGAGAGAGGGGUAGCCGGCCUGGGAGGGUAGACGCGCUCAAGGCUACUAAGGGACGCACCAGUAGGGAAUGGGACGCAAUAGGCGAAAGCAUGGCGGAGCAACGCGGAGUGAGUGAUGACGGUCUUCGGAUCGUAAAGCUCUGUUAUUAGUGGAGAACAAAUGUGUAAGUAAAUAAGCACGGAUUGACGGUACCUGAUAAGAAAGCAACGGCUAACUACGUG
rnacentral:rRNA from 1 species